CGCGCGGUUGAGCCGCUGGCAGCUCCUUGGGCUCAUAACCCAAAGGGCAGAGGUUCGGAUCCCGUCUGCGCUU
rnacentral:tRNA from 1 species